rnacentral:rRNA from 1 species
UUGAACGCUGGCGGCAGGCCUAACACAUGCAAGUCGAGCGGAUGAAGGGAGCUUGCUCCUGGAUUCAGCGGCGGACGGGUGAGUAAUGUCUAGGAAUCUGCCUGGUAGUGGGGGAUAACGUCCGGAAACGGGCGCUAAUACCGCAUACGUCCUGAGGGAGAAAGUGGGGGAUCUUCGGACCUCACGCUAUCAGAUGAGCCUAGGUCGGAUUAGCUAGUUGGUGGGGUAAAGGCCUACCAAGGCGACGAUCCGUAACUGGUCUGAGAGGAUGAUCAGUCACACUGGAACUGAGACACGGUCCAGACUCCUACGGGAGGCAGCAGUGGGGAAUAUUGGACAAUGGGCGAAAGCCUGAUCCAGCCAUGCCGCGUGUGUGAAGAAGGUCUUCGGAUUGUAAAGCACUUUAAGUUGGGAGGAAGGGCAGUAAGUUAAUACCUUGCUGUUUUGACGUUACCAACAGAAUAAGCACCGGCUAACUUCGUG